UACGGGGGGGGCAAGCGUUGUUCGGAAUCAUUGGGCGUAAAGGGCUCGUAGGUGGCCAACUAAGUCAGACGUGAAAUCCCUCGGCUUAACCGGGGAACUGCGUCUGAUACUGGAUGGCUUGAGUUCGGGAGAGGGAUGCGGAAUUCCAGGUGUAGCGGUGAAAUGCGUAGAUAUCUGGAGGAACACCGGUGGCGAAGGCGGCACCCUGGACCGGCACUGACGCUGAGGAGCGAAAGCCAGGGGAGCAAACCGG
rnacentral:rRNA from 1 species